rnacentral:tRNA from 1 species
GCUCCCAUAGCUUAGCUCAAAGCAUGGCACUGAAGAUGCCAAGACGGCGCCCACAUUCCCCUGGGAGC